rnacentral:lncRNA from 1 species
CUAGUCAGUUUCAUUCCAUUCAUUAAGAGAGAAAAAAUCUUACGAAGUUGUAAGAAGUGGGUUUAUCAGUGACGUCAGUUCUCCUUGUAAUAAUUCAGUGGCUGUUCCGCUUUUGUGGUGGGAAAAGGGACUGUAAGGGGUUUUCCGUUUUUAGAUACAUGACGCAUUCGCCUUAAGGAAAACAACUUUCACUAAGAACCAGUUUGGCGGGGAAUCCUAUUCCCCCUACUGCCAUUUCCCUUAAAAUCGCCAAAUGCUAAACAUUUCAAGGAAGCUCCGAAACAAGGGAAAUCUUCCGAACAUGGCAAUACAACAAACAACAGUGCGCUUUCAAGUCGUCAAUGGAUACGCAGAUUUGAAUUUUUAUUAGGUCAAUGACGUUUCGCCAUCAUUAUGACGUCAUUGUGAGUUGUGAACAAAAGUGAUGGACUCAACUGACCGCAAUUUUUGCCAAUACGCCGCCUAGAUGCUGCACUGCUGCAAAAGAGUGUGGAAGACAUUAUCAUUUCAUAUUCUUUAUUAGCAAGGCGACACCACUGAUUUUUCAGAUAUCUCAGUAGAUGACCAGUUCUCAACAGCAGUCUCAUGAUUAGGGUAUACGUUGGAGAUAUAAAUGUUGACAUUAGUCAUGACUCGCUUAUUAUUAGACAGCAUCGUCGCGUAGCAAGCUAUCCAAUCUGAAAAUUAAAAUCGACACAUACGGCCCUAUCGGUAUUUCGUUAAUUCGUUUCUCCUGGUUUUACAAAUGAAAAUUCUAAAUCUAGAGAACAUAUAGGCCUCCUUCCUCCUGUGUUGAACGUUUGCCUUUGAAUAAUUUUGCGCCGAUUCCUCCUUUUUUUUAAAUCUUUUGUUCAAAUUUCUCGUCGCAAUCGGUCGAUUCAGACGAUACGAAAUUGUUAGUUGAAAUGCGCUGAAUUGUUUUUUCUAUUCCAGUUCACUGAUGCUGUGCUGGAUGCGUAAAUGGCCGUGUCGACGGGCAGAAUAACCGCCUACCUGUAAUCAUCAAUUUGUUGCGGCUAACCGGAGAAUGGGAAGAAGAGGGAGAAAGAGAAGAAACCAAAUUCACUGAAAAUGGACAUCUAAUCAAACUGGUGUUAGAUAAUACAUUUUCGAUAGUUAACUGUAUCGAACGUUUUGCCUUCUAGAAGAUGAAGACAAUUUCAAAACAGACACUGACCGUGUCCGCCGCAACGGCAGCGAAUCGUUGGCGAUUGUCGAGUCCCAUUCGUUCACUUCGGGGCGUGGAACAGCGAUUGAGGUUUUUUGGCGAAAGUAUUUGUAUCAGGUGAUUUAUGUGCAGCUCAACAAUAGGGGUGACGUUGGCUCAAGCAGCAACACUCCCAGCUCUCAAGAGCCAGGAGCGCCGGAUAGCGGAGGCUCGUUAUCGUCUCUGGCUCUCGACCGUUGUGGAAAGUGUCACCAGUUUCUCUUUUCCCGCACGGAAUCGAUUCUACUGAUUGGGUUGACUACUACGCAACAACGACCAACAACAUCAGUAGCCGGCAGUAACGUUAGAAAACUUCCAGGAACUCCACCCAGACCUGCUGAACCUUUGGCUGUUUCCGAUUGGUAGACCAUGCAAUCUCCAGCCACUUUGGAGAUUUUUCUCGCGUGUCGGACAUGUCAUGGGAGAAGGAACUGCUUUCUCCGAGGCACCUGGUGGAGAAAUUUCGUACUACCUCAUGUAAACUAAUUUCCUCUCUCGUCUGCUAUCUUCAAGCGUGGCCGUGGCUUUCGAGUUUCAACAUGUAGGCACGAUAACUCGUUCGUGUUCUUUUGUGGAUAUUAAAAAUGGCAAGAAUCUUUUUUUUAUUACUGCAUUUAAAAUUGUAACAUAGUGACGCUGUAUUUGUGUAUUUCUCUAAAGUUUCCACAUGUAAGACCAGAGUAGAUUUUUCAUCAAUGGGGGAGGGGGGUCGAGGGAUCCCUUUGCUUGUCAAUUCCGACAAUUCGGCAAUUCUUUCGAUAUUGUUUUUGGUUUUAUUAAAAUUUAUUUUCAAAAGAGUAAAUUGUGUAGAA